CCGCCUUCCUGUGUGGGCUCCUGUUUCCUAAAAGCCUGUCUUCCUCUUCCCUAGUUUAUCUCCUAUUUUGGUCAGUACAUCCUCCAAUAGUUUCCUGAAAAAGGAAAAAAAUGGUAAGGUAAAAUCUCCUGAACAGGCAGGACUGGGGAUGGAUUCAGGAAAACUCAUCAGCAGGAGUUGAACCUUGGAAGACCUUGGAAGUUGUGUGAGCUAAAAUGAAUGGUCCAGAGGGGAGAGGGCAAGAGAGAGAAGAAAGAAAAAUAAGCAGGAGAGAGAGAGAAAAAGACACACAGAGUGUGCCAGAGAGAGAGGAGAGAGGCCCUCAGCUGAGAAAAAACUUCAAGAAAUGCUGUUUACUUACUGAGUUCCAAGUCUGAGACCCACAGAGGUGGUGGGACAGAGCCAGUUGGAUGAGCCAGAGAAGGAGUCGGCAAAGGUUUGGGAAAUUAUGAGUACGCUUAGAGUUUUGGUUGUUGAAGCCUCUGCAAGAUGAUCGAUGCCUUAUCUCAGCUCAAAAUACACAAAGAUGCAUUCGGUGGAAACCCUCAGAAAAAAGCUGCUGCUUCUGUUGACUUGUAAGAAGACAGAACCCACAUUCAAACAAGACCCUCAGGUGAUUCUCUGGGCUUUCCUGGUUCCAUUCCCAAAGGUGUCGAUUCCUUCAGCCCAGCAUGGGGACAGUGAAAGGCUACACACAAUGCCCAAGCGCAGCUCUGGAUGAGGGAUGCUGGUCCACAGUGCAGAUGUGAGCAAUUCCCGGGAUCAAAGAUGUAAGCAACUUCCUGGGCAAGUGGGUUUAACCUGAGCAAGUGGGACUAUCUGCUUUGCUAUAUUUUUCAAUAUGAAAAUAAUUCAAUGUGAAAAACAUCUGAAGAAAGUUUUUCUCAGAAAAAAAUAAUGGAGAAAAGGCAGAUCCAAGAAGAGUUGGGGAAAGAAAUAAGAAAGACACAAUGGCAGUUGGGAUUCAGAAUGUACAAAGCAGAUCCCACAUAAUAGUGGCUUUACAAACAGAUGCUGCUGUUAUUCAUAAAGGACUUGAACUUGAAUAGCAGAGGAGACUGUAAUGCUAUUUUUAAUAAUAUUGCCAAUGUGUCCAGACUUUUACAAUCACUAUUUCAUGUCUUCUUCUUAGUCCUUUCAAGACAGGAUUAUCACCUCUAUUUGGUGAGGAAACCGAGGCUUAGAGGUGAAGAUCUUCUUUGUUCUAAAACACCACCUGGUUUCCAUCAGGAUGAUAAUUAUUACUCUAUCUCUGGAAAUGUGGACAAGGGAGGUAAGAGGGAAGAGCCUGAAAGAGUGAAGGAGAAAGGGAAAGAUAGUGAUACAUUUCAAAUUGUAAGGUGAGACACCCCACUGUUCCCAGAUUCUCACCCAAACC
rnacentral:lncRNA from 1 species